rnacentral:rRNA from 1 species
UACGUAGGGUGCGAGCGUUAAUCGGAAUUACUGGGCGUAAAGCGUGCGCAGGCGGUUUUGUAAGCCAGAUGUGAAAUCCCCGGGCUUAACCUGGGAAUGGCAUUUGGGACUGCAAGGCUGGAGUGCGGCAGAGGAGACUGGGAUUCCUGGUGUAGCAGUGAAAUGCGUAGAUAUCAGGAGGAACACCGAUGGCGAAGGCAGGUCUCUGGGCUGACACUGACGCUCAUGCACGAAAGCGUGGGGAGCAAACAGG